rnacentral:rRNA from 1 species
GUGGGGAAUCUUCCGCAAUGGACGAAAGUCUGACGGAGCAACGCCGCGUGAGUGAAGAAGGUUUUUGGAUCGUAAAGCUCUUUCGUUAGGGACGAACGUGCUCUUUGUGAAUAAUGAGGAGUAAUGACGGUACCUAAAUAAGAAGCCACGGCUAACUACGUGCCAGCAGCCGCGGUAAUACGUAGGUGGCAAGCGUUGUCCGGAAUUAUUGGGCGUAAAGCGCGCGCAGGCGGGAUAUCAAGUCUGUCUUAAAAGUGCGAGGCUCAACCUCGUGAGGGGACAGAAACUGGUAUUCUUGAGUGUCGGAGAGGAAAGUGGAAUUCCAAGUGUAGCGGUGAAAUGCGUAGAGAUUUGGAAGAACACCAGUGGCGAAGGCGACUUUCUGGACGAUGUCUGACGCUGAGGCGCGAAAGCUAGGGGAGCGAACGGGAUUAGAAACCCCAGUAGUCC